AUUGAACGCUGGCGGCAUGCUUUACACAUGCAAGUCGAACGGUAACAGGUUAAGCUGACGAGUGGCGAACGGGUGAGUAAUGCAUCGGAACGUGCCCGGUCGUGGGGGAUAACGCAGCGAAAGCUGCGCUAAUACCGCAUACGAUCUGAGGAUGAAAGCGGGGGACCGUAAGGCCUCGCGCGAUCGGAGCGGUGGAUGUCAGAUUAGGUAGUUGGUGGGGUAAAGGCUCACCAAGCCAACGAUCUGUAGCCGGUCUGAGAGGACGACCAGCCACACUGGGACUGAGACACGGCCCAGACUCCUACGGGAGGCAGCAGUGGGGAAUUUUGGACAAUGGGCGAAAGCCUGAUCCAGCAAUGCCGCGUGCAGGAAGAAGGCCUUCGGGUUGUAAACUGCUUUUGUACGGAGCGAAAAGGUCUCCUCUAAUACAGGGGGCUCAUGACGGUACCGUAAGAAUAAGCACCGGCUAACUACGUGCCAGCCGCCGCGGUAA
rnacentral:rRNA from 1 species